AUACGUCCUAGUAUUUCAUUGAGAGAUAAAAUUCAUCAAGCCAUCCAAAUUAGAGUAGCAUGCACGUCUGCCAUCCAGUCUAGAGAGUAAAAAAAUGAUAAGUAAAAGGAAAGAGUAGCCUAGUACUGCACUACUAGUACUUUACUCGUUGAACCCAGCUCGUUCCUCUCCUCGUCUUCUCUGUUAUCCCAAGAACAGAACCAACCACACCCACCUCUCUCUCCCCCCAAGAACAGAGCAUGGCCGCCGCUGCCUCGAUCUGCCCUGUCCAGGCAUCUCCGGCGACACAGCGGACACCUACAGAUUCUCCUCGUCUCCCUCUAUCAUUUCCCCCUAUUUAUUUGAUCCGCCGCCACCACAAAUGUCGCCACCAUUCAAUCCUAGGGCCGCCUGGUUCAGGUCCAGUGGGCUCACCACCGGCUGCAGCGGCGACAAUGUCUCCAUGCCUACAUCCUCCCCUAGUGCAGCCACACGCACGAGGCGUGGACCCACGACCGAACCGGCGCCCCUCCGGCAGCAUGGUCGCUACCGGCGUCCUACCCGCCUUCGUCUAUGCUACUACUCAAAGUAAAUAGAUCAAGGUGAAAAGAUGCUCAUGGACUGAUUCAAAUCGAGGUGAAGAUAGACAAGAAGUCAAGCAAGAAGGGCUAACACAACAAGGUACUUGAUUAGUACCUGGUGGCGCAUGCAACCCAAAGGGCUUCACCGCAGUGAAGGACAGCAGUGUGGCAGAAGGUGAAAAGGCAAGUGGUGGGGGUACUCCAGCGUAUGUGUGUGUGUGAGGUAGAAUGGUCCACAGUGAAAGAGCUGCUAUAGUUUGGAGAGGCAUUACAUCUGGCAUGCAUGCGUGAUUAGGCUUGCAUGCAUGCCUCCACUUCUGUCUCUUGUGGGCUGUACUAGGGAUAAGUGUAAUUUUCUUGGCUGGCCAUUAGUUGGCAUUUACUUUGUGUGUAAGAAAAUGAGACAAGGAUUCAAUCAUAAAUUUGUGAAAUAUAUGAAGCUUUGGAGAAGAAUUGUUUUGUAAA